rnacentral:rRNA from 1 species
UACGGAGGAUGCAAGCGUUAUCCGGAAUGAUUGGGCGUAAAGCGUCCGCAGGUGGCUGUGUAAGUCUGCUGUUAAAGAGUGAGGCUCAACCUCAUAAAGGCAGUGGAAACUACAUGGCUAGAGUGCGUUCGGGGCAGAGGGAAUUCCUGGUGUAGCGGUGAAAUGCGUAGAGAUCAGGAGGAACACCGGUGGCGAAAGCGCUCUGCUAGGCCGCAACUGACACUGAGGGACGAAAGCUAGGGGAGCGAAUGGG